rnacentral:tRNA from 1 species
GGGCGAUUAGCUCAGUUGGUUAGAGCGCUUGCUCGACACGCAAGAGGUCAGCGGUUCGACUCCGUUAUCGCCCA